rnacentral:rRNA from 1 species
CAAAGCACGACACCGAAGCGGUGGAUUGGUGAAAGCCAGUGGUAGGAGAGCGUUGCAAUUGCGGUGAAGGAGUACGGACAACGGGCUCUGGAGCGAUUGCAAGUGAUCAUGCCGGGAUGAGUAGACGAUAAAACGGGUGAGAAUCCCGUUCGCCGUAAGCCUAAGGUUUCCUGGGGAAGGCAAAUCCGCCCAGGGUUAGCCGGUGCCUAAGACGAGGCCGAGAGGCGUAGUCGAUGGGGAGCAGGUUAAUAUUCCUGCGCUCCCCGCGCGAUACAGGACGUCGUUCCAAUGUGAUGCAGGCUUUGUAGAUUGCCUCAGGGCGUUUAAGAUCCCGAUAUUCACAGCGAGACGACCGAGAAAACUGCGCGGGAAACCGUACUAAAACCGACACAGGUAGGCGGGAUGAGUAUUCCAAGGCGCUCGAGAGAACGCUCGUGAAGGAACUCUGCAAAUUAACCCCGUAACUUCGGGAUAAGGGGUGCUCACGGACUUCGGUUCGAUGAGCCGCAGCGAAAAGGUUCUAGCGACUGUUUACUAAAAACACAGGUCUGUGCGAAGGCGUGAGCCGCGGUAUACAGACUGACGCCUGCCCGGUGCUGGUAAGUUAAGGGAGGAGGUUAGCCCGUAAGGGUGAAGCUUGCGACCGAAGCUCCAGUAAACGGCGGCCGUAACUAUGACGGUCCUAAGGUAGCGAAAUUCCUUGUCGGGUAAGUUCCGACCUGCAUGAAUGGCGUAACGACUGGAACACUGUCUCCACGAGCGACUCGGUGAAAUUGUAGUUGUCGUGAAGAUGCGACAUACCCGCAGCUAGACGGAAAGACCCCGUGAACCUUAACUGCAGCUUGGUAUUGGGUUUAGGCCCGGCAUGCGUAGCGUAGGUGGGAGACUGUAAACCCUCACUUUCGGGUGAGGGGGAGUCGUCGAUGAAACACCACCCUUGCCGUGCUUGAAUUCUAACCCGGACUGGUGAACCCCAGCCGGGGACCGUGCGAAGUGGGCAGUUUGAUUGGGGCGAUCUCCUCCUAAACGGUAACGGAGGAGUCCAAAGGUACCCUCAGCCCGGUCGGCAAUCGGGCAUUGAGCGUAAAAGUAGUAGGGUGCUUGACUGCGAGCCCGAUGGGGCGAGCAGUUGCGAAAGCAGGGUUUAGUGAUCCGGUGGUCCUGAAUGGAAGGGCCAUCGCUCAACAGAUAAAAGGUACUCCGGGGAUAACAGGCUUAUCUCCUCUGAGCGUUCAUAGCGGCGAGGAGGUUUGGCACCUCGAUGUCGGCUCAUCACAUCCUGGGGGUGGAGAAGCUCCCAAGGGUUCGGCUGUUCGCCGAUGAAAGUGGUACGUGGGCU